GCCGGUGUAACUCAACUGGAAGAGUGCCGCACCUGUAAUGCGGAUGUUAUCGGUUCGACUCCGAUCACUGGCU
rnacentral:tRNA from 1 species